UACGUAGGGAGCGAGCGUUGUCCGGAUUCAUUGGGCGUAAAGAGCUCGUAGGCGGCUUGGUAAGUCGGAUGUGAAACCUCCAGGCUCAACCUGGAGUCGCCAUCCGAUACUGCCAUGGCUAGAGUCCGGUAGGGGCCCACGGAAUUCCUGGUGUAGCGGUGAAAUGCGCAGAUAUCAGAAAGAACACCCGUGGCUAAGGCGGCUCUCUAGUACGGUACUGACGCUGAGACGCGAAAGCGUGGGGAGCGAACAGG
rnacentral:rRNA from 1 species